rnacentral:misc_RNA from 1 species
GAUGAAGAACGUAGCGAAAUGCGAUAAGUAAUGUGAAUUGCAGAAUUCAGUGAAUCAUCGAAUCUUUGAACGCACCUUGCGCCCUUUGGCCAUUCCGAAGGGCAUGCCUGUUUGAGUAUCAUGAACACCUCAACUCUUCAUGGUUUUCCAUGAUGAGCUUGGACUUUGGGGGUCUUGCUGGCCUACGGUUGGCUCCUCUAAAAUAAAUCAGCUUGCCAGUGUUUGGUGGGUAUCGCAGGUGUGAUAACUAUCUACGCUUGUGGUUUUCCACCAAGUAACCUUCAGCAGUGGAGGUUCACUGGAGCUCACAGAUGUGUCUCUCCUCAGUGAGGGACAGCUCUUUGAAUGUUUGAUCUCAAAUCAGGUAGGACUACCCGCUGAACUUAAGCAUAUCAAUAAGCGGAGGA